rnacentral:rRNA from 1 species
AUGAACGCUAGCUACAGGCUUAACACAUGCAAGUCGAGGGGCAGCAUGGUCUUAGCUUGCUAAGGCUGAUGGCGACCGGCGCACGGGUGAGUAACACGUAUCCAACCUGCCGUCUACUCUUGGCCAGCCUUCUGAAAGGAAGAUUAAUCCAGGAUGGGAUCAUGAGUUCACAUGUCCGCAUGAUUAAAGGUAUUUUCCGGUAGACGAUGGGGAUGCGUUCCAUUAGAUAGUAGGCGGGGUAACGGCCCACCUAGUCAACGAUGGAUAGGGGUUCUGAGAGGAAGGUCCCCCACAUUGGAACUGAGACACGGUCCAAACUCCUACGGGAGGCAGCAGUGAGGAAUAUUGGUCAAUGGGCGAUGGCCUGAACCAGCCAAGUAGCGUGAAGGAUGACUGCCCUAUGGGUUGUAAACUUCUUUUAUAAAGGAAUAAAGUCGGGUAUGCAUACCCGUUUGCAUGUACUUUAUGAAUAAGGAUCGGCUAACUCCGUGCCAGCAGCCGCGGUAAUACGGAGGAUCCGAGCGUUAUCCGGAUUUAUUGGGUUUAAAGGGAGCGUAGAUGGAUGUUUAAGUCAGUUGUGAAAGUUUGCGGCUCAACCGUAAAAUUGCAGUUGAUACUGGAUGUCUUGAGUGCAGUUGAGGCAGGCGGAAUUCGUGGUGUAGCGGUGAAAUGCUUAGAUAUCACGAAGAACUCCGAUUGCGAAGGCAGCCUGCUAAGCUGCAACUGACAUUGAGGCUCGAAAGUGUGGGUAUCAAACAGGAUUAGAUACCCUGGUAGUCCACACGGUAAACGAUGAAUACUCGCUGUUUGCGAUAUACGGCAAGCGGCCAAGCGAAAGCGUUAAGUAUUCCACCUGGGGAGUACGCCGGCAACGGUGAAACUCAAAGGAAUUGACGGGGGCCCGCACAAGCAGUGGAUUAUGUGGUUUAAUUCGAAGCAACGCGAAGAACCUUACCAGGGCUUGACAUCCCACUAACGAAGUAGAGAUACAUUAGGUGCCCUUCGGGGAAAGUGGAGACAGGUGGUGCAUGGUUGUCGUCAGCUCGUGUCGUGAGAUGUUGGGUUAAGUCCCGCAACGAGCGCAACCCUUGUUGUCAGUUACUAACAGGUGAUGCUGAGGACUCUGACAAGACUGCCAUCGUAAGAUGUGAGGAAGGUGGGGAUGACGUCAAAUCAGCACGGCCCUUACGUCCGGGGCUACACACGUGUUACAAUGGGGGGUACAGAGGGCCGCUACCACGCGAGUGGAUGCCAAUCCCUAAAACCCCUCUCAGUUCGGACUGGAGUCUGCAACCCGACUCCACGAAGCUGGAUUCGCUAGUAAUCGCGCAUCAGCCACGGCGCGGUGAAUACGUUCCCGGGCCUUGUACACACCGCCCGUCAAGCCAUGGGAGCCGGGGGUACCUGAAGUGCGUAACCGCGAGGAUCGCCCUAGGGUAAAACUGGUGACUGGGGCU